AAUGAACGUUGGCGGCGUGGAUUAGGCAUGCACGUCGAGCGAGAAGUGUAGCAAUACACGGAAAGCGGCGAAAGGGAUAGUAACACGUAGGUACCUACCCCCGGGCCUGGGAUAGCGGCGGGAAACUGCCAUUAAUACCAGAUAACGUCUCCGGACCAAAGGUGUGAUUCCGGCUGGGGAGGGGCCUGCGUCCUAUCAGCUAGUUGGUGAGGUAAUGGCCCACCAAGGCAUUGACGGGUAGCGGGUGUGAGAGCACGACCCGCAUCGCUGGGAUUGAGACACUGCCCAGACACCUACGGGUGGCUGCAGUCGAGAAUCUUCCGCAAUGGGCGCAAGCCUGACGGAGGGACGCCGCGUGCGGGAUGAAGGCCUUCGGGUUGUAAACCGCUGUCAGUGGGGAGGAAAUGCAUGGGGGUUCUCCCCCAUGUUUGACCGAUCCGCAGAGGAAGCACAGGCUAAGUUCGUGCCAGCAGCCGCCGUAAUAC
rnacentral:rRNA from 1 species